rnacentral:rRNA from 1 species
GUGAACGCUGGCGGUAGGCCUAACACAUGCAAGUCGAACGGCAGCACAGUAAGAGCUUGCUCUUACGGGUGGCGAGUGGCGGACGGGUGAGGAAUACAUCGGAAUCUACUUUUUCGUGGGGGAUAACGUAGGGAAACUUACGCUAAUACCGCAUACAACCUACGGGUGAAAGCAGGGGAUCUUCGGACCUUGCGCGAUUGAAUGAGCCGAUGUCGGAUUAGCUAGUUGGCGGGGUAAAGGCCCACCAAGGCGACGAUCCGUAGCUGGUCUGAGAGGAUGAUCAGCCACACUGGAACUGAGACACGGUCCAGACUCCUACGGGAGGCAGCAGUGGGGAAUAUUGGACAAUGGGCGCAAGCCUGAUCCAGCCAUACCGCGUGGGUGAAGAAGGCCUUCGGGUUGUAAAGCCCCUUUGUUGGGAAAGAAAAGCAGCAGGUUAAUACCCCGCUGUUCUGACGGUACCCAAAGAAUAAGCACCGGCUAACUUCGUG